GUGAGUCAUCGAAUCUUUGAACGCACAUUGCGCCCUUUGGUAUUCCGAAGGGCAUGCCUGUCUGAGCGUCAAUAAAUCAAUCAAACUUAUGUUUGGUAUUGGGAGAAGUGGCAUUGCCUCUCUCCUGUAAGCUAUUGGCGGCGCUGCUUCAGCUUGUAAGACGUAGUAAGUAAUUCCUCGUCAAAGCGACUGUGUAGCUGCCUGCCAACUAAACGAUUUAUUUAACAGCUUGACCUCAGAUCAGGUAGGGAUACCCCCUGAACUUAAGCAUAUCAAUAAGCGGAGGA
rnacentral:misc_RNA from 1 species